GACGAACGCUGGCGGCGUGCCUAAUACAUGCAAGUCGAACGAACUCUGGUAUUGAUUGGUGCUUGCAUCAUGAUUUACAUUUGAGUGAGUGGCGAACUGGUGAGUAACACGUGGGAAACCUGCCCAGAAGCGGGGGAUAACACCUGGAAACAGAUGCUAAUACCGCAUAACAACUUGGACCGCAUGGUCCGAGUUUGAAAGAUGGCUUCGGCUAUCACUUUUGGAUGGUCCCGCGGCGUAUUAGCUAGAUGGUGAGGUAACGGCUCACCAUGGCAAUGAUACGUAGCCGACCUGAGAGGGUAAUCGGCCACAUUGGGACUGAGACACGGCCCAAACUCCUACGGGAGGCAGCAGUAGGGAAUCUUCCACAAUGGACGAAAGUCUGAUGGAGCAACGCCGCGUGAGUGAAGAAGGGUUUCGGCUCGUAAAACUCUGUUGUUAAAGAAGAACAUAUCUGAGAGUAACUGUUCAGGUAUUGACGGUAUUUAACCAGAAAGCCACGGCUAACUACGUGCCAGCAGCCGCGGUAAUACGUAGGUGGCAAGCGUUGUCCGGAUUUAUUGGGCGUAAAGCGAGCGCAGGCGGUUUUUUAAGUCUGAUGUGAAAGCCUUCGGCUCAACCGAAGAAGUGCAUCGGAAACUGGGAAACUUGAGUGCAGGAGAGGACAGUGGAACUCCAUGUGUAGCGGUGAAAUGCGUAGAUAUAUGGAAGAACACCAGUGGCGAAGGCGGCUGUCUGGUCUGUAACUGACGCUGAGGCUCGAAAGUAUGGGUAGCAAACAGGAUUAGAUACCCUGGUAGUCCAUACCGUAAACGAUGAAUGCUAAGUGUUGGAGGGUUUCCGCCCUUCAGUGCUGCAGCUAACGCAUUAAGCAUUCCGCCUGGGGAGUACGGCCGCAAGGCUGAAACUCAAAGGAAUUGACGGGGGCCCGCACAAGCGGUGGAGCAUGUGGUUUAAUUCGAAGCUACGCGAAGAACCUUACCAGGUCUUGACAUACUAUGCAAAUCUAAGAGAUUAGACGUUCCCUUCGGGGACAUGGAUACAGGUGGUGCAUGGUUGUCGUCAGCUCGUGUCGCGAGAUGUUGGGUUAAGUCCCGCAACGAGCGCAACCCUUAUUAUCAGUUGCCAGCAUUAAGUUGGGCACUCUGGUGAGACUGCCGGUGACAAACCGGAGGAAGGUGGGGAUGACGUCAAAUCAUCAUGCCCCUUAUGACCUGGGCUACACACGUGCUACAAUGGAUGGUACAACGAGUUGCGAACUCGCGAGAGUAAGCUAAUCUCUUAAAGCCAUUCUCAGUUCGGAUUGUAGGCUGCAACUCGCCUACAUGAAGUCGGAAUCGCUAGUAAUCGCGGAUCAGCAUGCCGCGGUGAAUACGUUCCCGGGCCUUGUACACACCGCCCGUCACACCAUGAGAGUUUGUAACACCCAAAGUCGGUGGGGUAACCUUUUAGGAACCAGCCGCCUAAGGUGGGACAGAUGAUUAGGGUG
rnacentral:rRNA from 1 species